AGCUCCAAUAGCGUAUAUUAAAGUUGUUGCCGUUAAAAAGCUCGUAGUCGAACUUCGGCCUCUGCCGCCCGGUCCGCCUAAUUGGGUGUGUACUGGAGCGGUGGAGGCUUACCUCGUGGUGAACGGCCAUGCCCUUUACUGGGUGUGGUCGGGAACCAUGACUUUUACUGUGAAAAAAUUAGAGUGUUCAAAGCAGGCUUACGCCCGAAUACAUUAGCAUGGAAUAAUAAAAUAGGACGUGCGGUCCUAUUUUGUUGGUUUCUAGGAUCGCCGUAAUGAUUAAUAGGGAUAGUUGGGGGCAUUCGUAUUCAAUUGUCAGAGGUGAAAUUCUUGGAUUUAUUGAAGACGAACUACUGCGAAAGCAUUUGCCAAGGAUGUUUCA
rnacentral:rRNA from 1 species